GAUGAACGCUGGCGGCGUGCCUAAUACAUGCAAGUCGAGCGAACGGACGAGAAGCUUGCUUCUCUGAUGUUAGCGGCGGACGGGUGAGUAACACGUGGAUAACCUACCUAUAAGACUGGGAUAACUUCGGGAAACCGGAGCUAAUACCGGAUGAUAUUUUGAACCGCAUGGUUCAAAAGUGAAAGACGGUCUUGCUGUCACUUAUAGAAGGAUCCGCGCUGCAUUAGCUAGUUGGUAAGGUAACGGCUUACCAAGGCAACGAUGCAUAGCCGACCUGUGAGGGUGAUCGGCCACACUGGAACUGAGACACGGUCCAGACUCCUACGGGAGGCAGCAGUAGGGAAUCUUCCGCAAUGGGCGAAAGCCUGACGGAGCAACGCCGCGUGAGUGAUGAAGGUCUUCGGAUCGUAAAACUCUGUUAUUAGGGAAGAACAUAUGUGUAAGUAACUGUGCACAUCUUGACGGUACCUAAUCAGAAAGCCACGGCUAACUACGUG
rnacentral:rRNA from 1 species